UACGUAGGGUGCAAGCGUUGUCCGGAAUUAUUGGGCGUAAAGAGCUCGUAGGCGGUCUGUUGCGUCGGCUGUGAAAACCCGGGGCUCAACCCCGGGCCUGCAGCCGAUACGGGCAGACUAGAGUUCGGCAGGGGAGACUGGAAUUCCUGGUGUAGCGGUGAAAUGCGCAGAUAUCAGGAGGAACACCGGUGGCGAAGGCGGGUCUCUGGGCCGAUACUGACGCUGAGGUUUCGAAAGCCAGGGAGCAAACGGG
rnacentral:rRNA from 1 species